AUUGAACGCUGGCGGCAGGCCUAACACAUGCAAGUCGAACGAGUGGCGGACGGGUGAGUAAUGUCUGGGAAAUUGCCUGAUGGAGGGGGAUAACUUCUGGAAACGGUAGCUAAUCCCGCAUACCAUCGGAGGUGCCCAGAUGGGAUUAGCUUGUAGGUGGGGGAAUGGUUCACCUAGGCGACGAGCCCUAGCUGGUCGGAGAGGAGGACCAGCCAAACUGGAACUGAGACACGGCCCAGACUCCUACGGUAGGCAGCAGUGGGGAAUAUUGCACAAUGGGCGCAAGCCUGAUGCAGCCAUGCCGCGUGUAUGAAGAAGGCCUUCGGGUUGUAAAGUACUUUCAGCGGGGAGGCGUUACCCGCAGAAGAAGCACCGGCUAACUCCGUGCCAGCAGCCGCGGUAAUUC
rnacentral:rRNA from 1 species